rnacentral:rRNA from 1 species
GACGAACGCUGGCGGCGUGCUUAACACAUGCAAGUCGAGCGGUAAGGCCCUUUCGGGGGUACACGAGCGGCGAACGGGUGAGUAACACGUGGGUGACCUGCCCUCAGCUCUGGGAUAAGCCUGGGAAACCGGGUCUAAUACUGGAUAUGACUCCAUGACGCAUGUUGUGGGGUGGAAAGCCUUGUGCGGCUGAGGAUGGGCCCGCGGCCUAUCAGCUUGUUGGUGGGGUNANGGGCCUACCAAGGCGACGACGGGUAGCCGGCCUGAGAGGGCGACCGGCCACACUGGGACUGAGACACGGCCCAGACUCCUACGGGAGGCAGCAGUGGGGAAUUUUGGACAAUGGGCGCAAGCCUGAUCCAGCCAUGCCGCGUGCGGGAAGAAGGCCU